rnacentral:rRNA from 1 species
AUUGAACGCUGGCGGCAGGCCUAACACAUGCAAGUCGAGCGGAUGAAGGGAGCUUGCUCCUGGAUUCAGCGGCGGACGGGUGAGUAAUGCCUAGGAAUCUGCCUGGUAGUGGGGGAUAACGUCCGGAAACGGGCGCUAAUACCGCAUACGUCCUGAGGGAGCAAGUGGGGGAUCUUCGGACCUCACGCUAUCAGAUGAGCCUAGGUCGGAUUAGCUAGUUGGUGGGGUAAAGGCCUACCAAGGCGACGAUCCGUAACUGGCCUGAGAGGAUGAUCAGUCACCCUGGAACUGAGACACGGUCCAGACUCCUACGGGAGGCAGCAGUGGGGAAUAUUGGACAAUGGGCGGAAGCCUGAUCCAGCCAUGCCGCGUGUGUGAAGAAGGUCUUCGGAUUGUAAAGCACUUUAAGUUGGGAGGAAGGGCAGUAAGUUAAUACCUUGCUGUUUUGACGUUACCAACAGAAUAAGCACCGGCUAACUUCGUG